AUGUCUGGUAUGAGGCCAUAUCUUUAUCUUAAGCAAUGCCCUCUCCACUCAGUCUUUCCUCUCGUGUUCUGUCUCCCAUCCCAGGCUCUGCCACAGCCCCCAGCAAGGAGAGGGAGUUUCAGUCUGGUCAGAAAUCCUGUGGCUUUCCUGGGGUCUUAUGGCCCAAGAGUUUCUAAUGUUGCCUCGCCACUCCUUCCACAUCAUCACUUUGAAAUAGAAAUGAAGGUCUCCAGUGGGCUUGCUCUUCUUAUGAAAUUAUCUGGCUUCGUUGUGUCAUUAGAAAGAGAAAGAACCAAACCACACCAAGGACUGACAGGCAUUUUGACAAGUGUCAGCAGUCAAAGCCUGAAUCAGUCCUCUGAGUUUGCAAUCACUUAGCUCCCUCCCCUUUACCUAUAAAUAUGAACAAUGGGGUCUUUUGUGGGGUUUGUUGCUUCUGCUGGGCCCUUCUGAGUCACUGCAUAUUUUUAUGUGUUCAGUAAUAUACAGUGUGAGUCAUUCUCCAGCUUGGGGGUAUUUUGGGACUUGUGCUGUUUUACUUACAAUUGCAGAAAAAAAUCAAAUAUUACAGAGGUGAUAAAAAAUACAGCAAAUUCAUAUGAUCCAGCUCAGUGUGUGCACAGUUCUAGGACAGGAAAGAGAGCCAGGGCAUGAGGUCAUUGCCAAGGGUUCUUUGGAGAGGGUGGUUAAGGUACCACCCAUUUUUGCUGAAGUCAAAUAAGGGAGUGAUUUUAGCAUCCCUAAGAAAUCUUCUUAGGCUAAAGGCAGAAGGUGCCAGCCUUUUUAUCCCAUUCCCAAGAGUCCAGAGAGGAAAGGAAGGUUCCUCCCUCAAUGAGAGCUGUUUCUUUCAGAUUUUCUAGUUCUUAGAUUUGGGUGUUGGCUGUGGGAAGGCAUUCAGAUGAAAGUGGGGAUUGAGAGGCUGGUGCUGAAGCUGCUUCCCCAAAUGGACCAUGGCUUCAGCUCACCCGGCUCUGACAGAGCCCCCAUCUCAAGAAGCUGGGGGUGAGAGUGGCUGAGUCAGGCUGGUAAAAAGGCUGAGGCAGGUGCAUUUGCCUUGAGAAACUUUAGGGGGAGAUAAAGGAAUGCUGAGUGUCCCCAAGGGGAUCCCGUUAUAAUGGAGAAACCGAGUCACUGUUGAGCAGCUCCUGACAGAUGGUGUGUCACCGAAUCAGGCACUAAAGCAAGGAUGAACAUUACUUUCCCCACACCAGAAUGUCUCCCCUUACUGCUCUGCUCCCUCUAUCAUACCACACACCUUGGACAAGCCACUUCCCCACUGUGAGCCUCAGUUUCCCCAUCUGUAACCGUGAACUAGAUGAUUGGCAAGGCUGACUCAGCUGGAUGCUUUGCUUUUCUGACAUGAUCUAGGCUGCUGAGACCAGAACCCUUGUUCCUCAGGGAGCCCAAGUGUGCCAGGCACCGGGGCAGAUCCUAGGGAGUGAGGUGUGGCCCAGGUAUUGGGGUUUCAGCAUUAAUUGCAUUCUGAGCACAUGUCUACCUCUCAGAGCUGCGGGGCCUGUCUCUUUCUAUUAGUUUAACAAGCCCUGGUAUUAAUGAGAUUGCUCUAUAAUUGAACCUUUUCACGGGUCCCUCGGUAAUGAAAUUAUGCUAAUUUGCAUUCAGCACCACCAGGCAUCCAUCACGCGGGACCAGCCGGGAGCGGCCGGUGAGGCGGCGUGAAUGCGCCGCUAAUUAUCACCGAAAUGAACAAACCCAGCAGUAUUAUUAUUUCAUCUUCUGCCCCUUCCCUUCCUCGCUACCCGCCUUCCCCACCCCAUCUAUAUUUUUGUCUUUUCAUGCACAUGACUGUCCGGGCA
ensembl:lncRNA